rnacentral:rRNA from 1 species
AUUGAACGCUGGCGGCAGGCCUAACACAUGCAAGUCGAGCGGCAGCGGGAAAGUAGCUUGCUACUUUUGCCGGCGAGCGGCGGACGGGUGAGUAAUGCCUGGGAAAUUGCCCAGUCGAGGGGGAUAACAGUUGGAAACGACUGCUAAUACCGCAUACGCCCUACGGGGGAAAGCAGGGGACCUUCGGGCCUUGCGCGAUUGGAUAUGCCCAGGUGGGAUUAGCUAGUUGGUGAGGUAAUGGCUCACUAAGGCGACGAUCCCUAGCUGGUCUGGGAGGAUGAUCAGCCACACUGGAACUGAGACACGGUCCAGACUCCUACGGGAGGCAGCAGUGGGGAAUAUUGCACAAUGGGGGAAACCCUGAUGCAGCCAUGCCGCGUGUGUGAAGAAGGCCUUCGGGUUGUAAAGCACUUUCAGCGAGGAGGAAAGGUCAGUAGCUAAUAUCUGCUGGCUGUGACGUUACUCGCAGAAGAAGCACCGGCUAACUCCGUGCCAGCCGCCGCGGUAAUAC